rnacentral:lncRNA from 1 species
UGAAAACCUACAGCUAAGAAUCAAUAAAAAUUGCUGAAAACAGAAAACCCAAAAAACUGCGGAGUAACUUGACAACUUCGUUCGAGGUGUUCCCGAUCUCCAAAAAUCACGAAAUUAAAUCUAGAGUGUCCUUAUAUAUUGAAUUUUCGAUCUGGAAAUUUUGGGAACCAAAUUCAACCCGCUGAAUCUUUUUUAAAAUUUUUAUUGAAUUUCGUAUUUUUUGAUUUUUUU